rnacentral:tRNA from 1 species
GCUCGCUUAGCUCAGUUGGUUAGAGUACCUGCAUGACAUGCAGGGUGUCACUGGUUCGAGUCCAGUAGCGAGCACCA